GCUGGCUAUGCUUCCCUUGGCCUCCAGUCACAGCCCUCUGGGGACACACAGUGAUCUCUGUGCCAGGUCACUCUGAGAUGUAGGGAGCAAAGCCGGAGGCAGCAGCUCACCCCAGUCAGUUCUGAGGAGCUGGCAUUAGAUUCUCCAGUGUGAUUGCUGGAUGAGUCCUUUCUGCGUUAUAGCUCCAGGUAGGGUGAGUUCUUUGUGGUUCAUGUAGUUCUAGGAAGAUAGGGACCUGCUCCAGGCCAAUAGGAACUCCUUAGCUGAGACAGAGUUUAUAUGGGUUCUUCCUGAAUAAUUCUUGGGUACACCCCUGAUCAUACCAGUUUCCCUCUUUUGCCUCCUCCAAACCGAGGCUGAGUUAAGUCGAGGAAAUGUCUGGCAGCUGCCCUCUGGUGGGGUCGUGCUCCUUGGGAAUUGGCUCCUAGCUUAGAGAAGCUCGGCUGCCAUCUUGGUUGGGAAUCCAUGUUCCAUGAUGCCCUUCAGAGAGUCAUGCCUCUCUCAGACUUUUGCUGUUCUGGGUAGCACUUCCUCCUAUAAGACUAUAAUGAGUCUUAGCUUACCGGGGAACCCCUGAGUGAACAAUGAGGAACUGAGGACCAAAGCAAAAGGAAGAGGAAUGUAUUGUUCCAUCAUGCUGGAGUCAUCAUCCUGCACCCUAAGAAGAGACCGCAUACCUCUCAUGCAGCCUGUUUGGAAACAUACUUCCUCUUGAAGCUGAGCCCUUCUGAGGAUGACAACCCGGAGGAUGGAUGCAGGAAGUCAGGAGGACCUUCCUUGAUCUUCUUAACAGAAAAAGAGGCUUUGUUACAGUCAUAGUUGCAGCACUAGUCUGAACCAUACCCUUGCCACACCCUGCUCCAGCAGGUGCCUUGUCUGUCUGUGUUUGUAUGUCCAUCUGUAAGUCAAGAUGUGUUUUGACAGGACUCUUGCAGAGGGGAGUGAUACAGACGUGGCCUUCUACAGCAUCUGUGCCCUGCCUUUGCUUGCUGGCGUGUACCCCCUCAGCCACUCAUAUUUCUCAGGAUAAAUAUGGCAGACAACCUGUUGGAAUGUGAAACCCACAAAUGUUUCAUAACCACAUGGUCACCCAGUUUUAUAAAAGUAGAAAAUUCAAAUGAUCCAUUCUACUUGUCCAGUAUGAUGAAAACAGAUGUGGCCCAACUACAAGCUGCUUCACACAGUGGCUCUGUGGUGGAUGAAGUAUGAUCAGAUGCUUCAAGCUACCAACACCUUCACCAAGCUCUUCACCAAGAUGGACUGCACCCUGGAAUAAAUUCUUUCUCUCUUAAGAUGCUUUUGUCUCAUGAUACUUUAUUGCAGCAGCAGGGAAAGAAACUGACACUGUGUGCUACUGUUUCUCUGUAUCCUGAAGAAGAAGCACUGUUCAGUUAGCAUUGACUAUCUAUCACCAAUAUCUCCUACUGCUCCGACUCUGGCUUCUGAUUGCCUGAAAGUGUCUUUAUUUUGCUUUCACUUUUUUUUUUUAAGAUUUAUUUAUUUAUUAUAUCUAAGCACACUGUAGUUGUCUUCAGACACUCCAGAAGAGGGCAUCAGGUCUCAUUACGGGUGGUUGUGAGCCACCAUGUGGUUGCUGGGAUUUGAACUUCGGACCUUCAGAAGAGCAGUCGGGUGCUCUUACCCACUGAGCCAUCUCACCAGCCCGCCUUGCUUUCACUUUUGAAGUAAAGUUGAACCUAAUAAAAAAAAUUGAUAGUGACAAACUUUCUUAAAUAGUCUGUUUUUCUUUACUCUCUUAUGCUGAGAACCCUGUGGUAGUUUAAAUAAGAAUAUACUUAUUUACAUGCUUAGUCCCCAGUUAAUGAACUGUCUGGAAAGGAUUACAAGAUGUGUCACUAGGAAGGAACUUUGAGGUUUUAAAAAUGCCCACACAAGGUGCUCUUGUGCUCUCUCCCUCUCUCUCUUUCUCUCCCUCCCUCUCCCCACCCUCUCCUCUGCCUUAUGCCUGCAGAUCAGGAUGCAAAGCUCUCAGCUUUUGCUCUAGCACCAUGCAUGUCUGCUCCCUGCCAUGAUGAUCACUGAAUAACAAUCUGAAACUGUAAUCAAGCUCUCAAUUAAAUACUUUCUUUUUCAAGUUAUAUUAGUCAUGGUGUCUCUUCACAGCAACAGAACAGUAACAAAGACAGCAGUUGGUACCAUGAAGGAGCAUAUUGCUGUAACAGGCCUGACUGUGUGCUGUUUGUUGGUGACAUGUGAAAGGCUUUGGACUUGUAUUAUAAAAGAUUUAGGGAAUAUGGAUGUCUUUGUACUCUCAGACAUGCACUAAAGAAACCUAGAAUGUAAAGCAGGCAGGGUUGUUCCUUCAAGGGAAGGAAUACAAAACCUGCGUUCCUUCCAGAAAGCUAGAGAGGAUGUGCUGUUUGCCUGGCAGCCUUUGUACAAUAUGUAUGGCCAAAGACUUUUUUGGCAGCAGACCCUCUUCUGGGCCUUCUCAAAACCUUGUUUUUCUCAGUUAGUCUGUUCUGUAGAGCCUAUUUUUAUGAAAGGUGACAUAUGUACUUUAUGAAAUAUGUAAACUUUGUACAUUUAGGAUGGAGUUAAUCAUUGUAAGAUUAGUUUUCAUCAGAUUGUGCUGUGUUUAAAUAAAACAAUCCAGGGUCAGACUCUCAGAGUUUAAACCAAUGCUGGCUACUGAGUUGUGUUGUGUUAAACUGCCUUCUCUGGUUUCUCACGCUGCCUGUGAAGGUCACAAAGACACCCCUGCCCGGAAAAAAGCAGUCAAAUGCUUUAAGCAAGGUGUACUGGGCCAACCUAGUAGGAACAUGGAAGACAGUGGUUUUAAAAACAGUAGAUUAGAGGUUUCAGAGGGAAAGAAUAUUAGCAAGUGGUUUAGGCCAUUCUUGUGGAAUUUUGGCCAAGAACAUGGCUGGCUGCUUUUUACACUUGUCCUAAAAAUUUGCCAGGAGCUAAAUUGAAGAGUUUUUGGAUAAUGGCAUUAUCAAAGCGGUUUCAAGACAGUCUAGUAUUGACUGUAUUAUGUAGUUACUAGUUAUCAUUCUUAUACAGAUUUACAAUUGAAAAGGAGCAAUCUAAACAAAGAAAAGUACAAAAUAUACAGUUUGAGGAGAAAAGAAACACCAGUAAAUGCAUUGUUGGAGUCUAGUCCUGUGUUCAAGGAGAUAGAAAGCUUAAGAAAAGGUAUGAAUGAAAAGAAAAGCUAAAUGGAAUAAAGGCAGUGGUGUCUUCAUACCCCCACCCAGUUAAGCUUCCAACUGUAAAAGGAUAUUUUAAAAAAAGCUUAGGCAGUAAAGGAUAUCAUCUCACCAGAAAGCUUAU